UCACUUUGCUAGGGGCGCCUUUGGCUGAGAAACGCAUCUGCGUUGACCCUUAUUACUUGAACCGGAUAAUACCGGCGUAAGGAAGCACAUAGUUCAACCU
rfam:Roseburia sp. CAG:45 genomic scaffold, scf57